AAAUUGAAGAGUUUGAUCAUGGCUCAGAUUGAACGCUGGCGGCAGGCCUAACACAUGCAAGUCGAGCGGUAACAGGGGUAGCUUGCUACCCGCUGACGAGCGGCGGACGGGUGAGUAAUGCUUGGGAACUUGCCUUUAGGAGGGGGAUAACCACGGGAAACUGUGGCUAAUACCGCAUAAUGUCUCCGGACCAAAGUGGGGGAUCUUCGGACCUCACACCUAAAGAUAGGCCCAAGCGAGAUUAGCUAGUUGGUGGGGUAAAGGCUCACCAAGGCGACGAUCUCUAGCUGUUCUGAGAGGAUGAUCAGCCACACUGGGACUGAGACACGGCCCAGACUCCUACGGGAGGCAGCAGUGGGGAAUAUUGCACAAUGG
rnacentral:ncRNA from 1 species